GUAGGUGGCAAGCGUUGUCCGGAAUUAUUGGGCGUAAAGCGCGCGCAGGCGGUUCUUUAAGUCUGAUGUGAAAGCCCACGGCUCAACCGUGGAGGGUCAUUGGAAACUGGAGAACUUGAGUACAGAAGAGGAAAGCGGAAUUCCACGUGUAGCGGUGAAAUGCGUAGAGAUGUGGAGGAACACCAGUGGCGAAGGCGGCUUUCUGGUCUGUAACUGACGCUGAGGCGCGAAAGCGUGGGGAGCAAACAGGAUUAGAUACCCUGGUAGUCCACGCCGUAAACGAUGAGUGCUAAGUGUUAGGGGGGUUUUCCGCCCCCCUUAGUGCUGCAGCUAACGCAUUGAGCACUCCGCCUGGGAGUACGGCCGCAAGGCUG
rnacentral:rRNA from 1 species